CCGUUUUGAUCUAGGGUUACUUAAAAACCGAAGUUCGACCUUUUUUUUCUGUUCAGCCGCCUCCCAUUUCGUUCAAAUCUUCCCUAUUUCUUCUCUCCCCCUCUCUAUAAACUCCAGUUGCCGGGCUGUUGGUCUGAUAUAUCCCUUCAGAUCUCCUUCUUUCUUCUUUCUUUCUAUACAUUUUCGCUUCUUUUCCUUUUUGCUGUUAGUUAUAGUUUGUUCUCCAAUGUUUGCAAUUGCAUUGUUUUUGCAACUGCCCUCGAGUUUCAUACAAAUCUGGUUAAUUCCUUUCUCAAUUUCUGAGCUGUUUUUGAAAUUGAUGUUUGAUUUAUCUUCUGUAAAGAUUACAUUGAAUUGAAGCUCCAGCUUUGUGUAGUUUGAACUUGGCAGUAUUUGGAGUUCUUUAGGAAAUCACUGGGGGGAUUUUUCCAUCUGUUAGCUUUCAAUCACAGAAUAGGCUGAAAAGUGUACAUGAAAUAUGAAAAAAUUUCGUCCCUUUUACUGUUGGUUUUGUUAAAUGUAUCCAUUGGCCUGUGAUGCAUAGAAAAAUUGUCCGUACCAUCUGAUGAUGUCAAUCUCUUGAUGUGUUGAAAUAUCUUCUGAGGCCUGUGUGAUUCUUUUUCAAUCCUUAUUUUUUGGGUUUAUAUUUCAAAAGAAGAUUAAUUUAUUGGCUAGAAAUUACGGUGAAAGGGCUUUGAUGAUGAAAAUUAUACCAUCAAACUAUGAGAGCUCAAAUGUGGGCUUGUUGAUGUUCAUAAUCUCUGAGCCCUUUCUUUCUGAAAGUAACUUAGACCUUCGGUGGCUUUUAAUUCUGUCUUUUUUCUUUUUAAUUUUCAAUUCGAUCCCAUAAGCGGAAACAAAAUAAUAUUUGGAAGGCAACAAAAUAGAGUCUCUGGAUUGCUUGAUAAUUUAUAGCGUUUUCAGUGCUGUACGUUGCCGAUACUGAUAUGGUUCUGAGAUUCUGGCAUUUUCCUCGCUUUUGUCCUUGAGGCUUAUGCAUUCAGACGUACGUACAUGCUCAUUUAAGUUUGCUUUUGAAAUUGUAAACUUUUGUUAAGGGAGAGCCUAAGGAAACCUGGUGCUUAUAUGAGCACUAUCCUGGAGAUGGGUAUAUUUACGAAAACAAAAAAAAAAACUUUCAAUUUUUCACCCAUCUCCAUGCAUACAUCUCCAUUCAGAAUGCUCAUAUGAGUACGAGCUUUCUCCUCUCCCUUUUUUUAUGCUCGUUGGUUCUAAGUUUCAUCUUUUAUGGGUCCUGUCUCUGUUUAGUUUCAUCUUGUAUAUCUUUUUUGCAUUACAGUUUAAUUUAAUCUCCACAGAUUGUUAUAAUUGAUUCAUUAUCUAGACAUGCAGUAAUGGAAGAUUAGAUAUUAUAAUAUAUCUUAAUUCAUGAACCUAUCUAAAUGAUAAAAUGGGUAUUGUUCUUUUGUAUGGAAUUUUUAUUUCUUUGUCCUGUACAUUAAUAAAAUGAAGAAAAUAAAUCAAUACAAAUGAUUUUUAACUGCUUGUUGGGUUGAGCUUUCAGUCACCAGAAAAUCAUGUUAUAUGCUUUUUCAUAACUGAGACUUUGUUAUUGUCCAUGGCAUGUGUGAAAGGCAACAAAUUAGAGUCUCUGAUGCACUACCUUAAUAGUGUUUUCAGCGCUGUACGUUGCCAAUAUGAAUGCGGGGGCUGAGAUUCUGGCAUGGUUCUAUUUGGGUUAGGCCAAUGCAUUCAGAUGUCCCUAUAAUUAAAUUAUGUUUUAACGCACAUCAAGAAGAAGUGCACUCGGACUAGGAUGUGAAUGAUUGUGGUGAAUUUGAUUUUUUUUUUCCUGGAUCUUAUUAUUUUUCAAUGCUACAAUAUGUAUGCAAUAUGAUCAGCUAGUCUACUCUCGGUCAAUCCUAAACGAGUUUGUUGGUGUAUCCUGUAUUAGCAAAUAGCAAAAUUAAGGUUUAUAGGAAGGGGUUUAUCCUCUGGUAUUCAAUUGCUACCAAUGUCUGUUCUGUGCCAUUCACUCUGUUUUCAAUUUGUGUAUCAGUCGUACACUCUAUCUUGCUUUCCCCCUCUACUUAGCUCAGUAUUAGAAGAAACAUGAGAAUGUGAAGUUGAGAUUGGUUGAUAUUUGUGAAAUAUAGGAAUGGGCAUAUGGUGCACCGAGGAAUUGUCCGCACCAUCUGAUAUUAUCGGUCUCUUGAUGUAUUGAAACACCUGUUGAGACCUUUAUAAAACCUUUUAGUUAUUUUAUUAUUAUUAUUAUUUUGUAAGAAAAGAAAAAGGAAAAUUAUUAUCGAGUCUCUAGUUUUUUAAAAAUUCAUUAAUUUAUCCUUACUUUAAAAUUGUUCUAAUUUGCUCUAAUUUAUCCUUAAUCUAAAAUAGUUGCAUCCUCGUGAGAAAUCUAUGCACAACCUAAAAGAGUGGAUUGACUGUGAUGAUGUACUCCUUGCAAAUGGGAGCUUGUACCUAUUAACAUGGUAAGUGGUAUCAAAGUUGAUCACAUUAUGGAAUUCUUGAUAGGCAGCUCUACCCUAAGGAUGAACCCACAUAACAUUUAAAAGCCUGCAAUCAAUAUCAAUAGAGUAGAAAAACUUGUGAUCUUUUUGUUGCAUGUUAAUAAAUAACCUGCUUAUAGCCUAAGCAUCACCAUCAACAAGUCUUAGCCUCCUCAUUUCAAUGAAAUUUCGAUCAUCUUUUGACAAACAACUUAAGUUCUCUGGACCCUCUGCUUAGACUUCUAGCAUUCUUAUGCUUUUUGACAUCCUUGUUAGCUAUAUCAGUCUCCUUCUCAUAUCAUUGUUCAAUGACCUAUGACCAACCAAUCUGGAUGCAGAAGAAUCCAAUUCAUAGUUGUGACUUGAUAUAAAUUUAGAACCCUGCCACAUCUGAUUGUGUCUAAGGACUGCAUUUAUCUUAGUUGAACAAUUUAGCCAUGAUCAAUUAGAACAAAGAGAGGUCGUAAGCAGAGAUUGUGAAGGAGAAAUGAAUCACAGACUACAUUAUACCUCUUGACAGAGAUUGUGAAGGAGAAAUGAAUCACAGGCUACAUUAUACCUCUUUGCAUUCUCAUUUCUUUAACUUCUAUUAAUAAUUUUCCUGAUUAGUGUCGAUUGAUUAUUGAUAAAUUCAAACAGAUAGUAACCGUUACAUUUGUUAUGCAUGAAAUGAGUUGUAUUACAUGGUUCUCACAACAAUUCUCUCCACCACUCUUGUAAGAUUCCAAGUAAUAGCUAAAGCUGGUUGGUGACAACAUGCAUUAAAAACUUGUAAGACGUGAACAGCUAAUAAUUUCAAGUUGUGUAUGGCUGCAAGGGACGACAAACGUGGUACAAAUGAAACUAUAAUGCUUUGUAAGACACGAAGCUACAACCUUCAUUCUUCAAGCUGUGAAGCCUUUUCAAGUCAUCUGAUGCGUGCAUAAGGGUAAUACUUUUCAAUAAUUUAAAAUGUAAAAUAGAUCUUGAGUUCCACAUCAUUAUCUUGGAUAAUAUUAAAAAAUUUGUAGCUUAUUAAUUAGGGUAUAAUCACUGCAUUUAAGAUGGCUCAAUUUGAGCCAUAUAGCACUACUCGAGUAUAGUAUGGAGUAAAAUCUUUUCUGGGUAAAUACGAUAUUUUAGAUUUUUGGUGCAACAUAUAUUUAUUUUUUUUUAUUAGGAGUCUUUUGAUUUUCUUACUGGCCCUCCAAGAAUUUAGUUUAAAAAAAAAAUACUAAAUAGGCAUAAUAAAUUUUAACUUUUAAAUCGAUUUCUUCAAAAUUUUUAUUAAUUUCUAAUAAUUUAUAACAUAUUUAUUAUAAUUAAAAUUGAAAUAUUAAAAUUUAUUGAUUGUAUAUUGAAUGGACAGAAAAAAUUUAAUUAAAAAUUGUUUUAUUAUUUUUAUAUUUACUACUUAAAAUUUGAUUAAUAGUUAUUUUAAAAUUAAAUGAAACACAAUCUAAAAAUUAUCUAUUAGAUAAUUUCAAAUUAACUUUAUCCUUUCAAAAUUUAAAAAUAUUUUAUUUAUAUAUGUAUAAACAUACAAAAUUAGUGAUCUCAAUUACUUCAAUUUUAGACAGGUUAAUUUAGAUAUACAUUUAUUCUUAUAUUAUAUGUUUACUUAAUAUUCUACUAAUUUUUAAUUUUCAUAUCUUUUUAAUUUUAGUUAUUAUUGAAUUUUUGAAACUUAUGUUAUUAUUACACAUAUUAGGAGCUACAUGAUUUUUUUCUUUUUUUUUUUUUGAAUCAAAUGAUUUUUUUCUUUUUAACUCUGAAUUUUAUACAAUAAUUUAUGUAAUACUUUUCCUUAAUGAUAAAUUCAUCUUAUAAAAUUAUAUGACAAAAAAUUAUAAUUUUGGGAUACUUAUUAUAUUAUAUAAUUUUUUAAUGCAUAAAAAUUAUAUAUAUAUAUACUUUUCCUUAAUGAUAAAUUCAUCUUAUAAAAUUAUAUGACAAAAAAUUAUAAUUUUGGGAUACUCAUUAUAUUAUAUAAUUUUUUAAUGCAUAAAAAUUAUAUAUAUAUAUAUAUAUAUCAAUUAGACGAAAAUUAGUUAUUUUGAUAGUACUACUUUCCAUUUUAUUAAUUCUUUAAUGAUUUUAAGUUUUAAUUUGUAAUUUUUUGUUAUCAAUUUAAUUAAUUUUGAUUUAAUCAACUAAUAACUUUAUUGAUGAAAUAUUAUUUAUACUUAUCAUUUUAUAAAUUUAUUAUUAUUAUUAUUAUUAUUAUUAUUAUUAGUGAUGCUACAAUCGCUCAAAGCGAGUUAUGGGUUGUCAUCACAAAAUAAGAUCACGUGGUAAGAGUCUAAUAAGCAGAUACUCAACCUCACUUGAGGAAAAGAGACCCGAAUACCAUUACGCUCAAUUCUUCACCAAGACUCGCCCUCUCCUGAAGAGGUCGAGUCUCAGCAUAAAAUUACCGUUAAUAGGCAAGUCAGCAUAUCCCCAUUACGUCUGUAAUAGUAGGAUUACCGACCGAUUAGCUAGUGAAAUCUUUUAACAAAUAGCUGGCUAUUUCAUUGUCAAAUUUUUAGGAAAUACUAUAAUAAUUUCAUUCUCUUACAAUAUAAAAGUUAACAAUCACAAAAACAAAGAUACAAAAUUCUUACAUAAUUAUACUUGAGUUCUAAGCAAUUUCUUAUACUCGCCCUAUUUUCCAGUUUACUAAUUUGAACAUCCGAGUGGCUGCCAUAGGCGCCAACCACCUCAUUUUCUCUUUUUUGCAGGUUUAACCAAUUGCAGCAUAGUUUUUUUUUGUUUGCAUCAUUUGAUUCCGAUAUCGGAAAAUCCUUUAAAUGCAUCAUUUGAUUCCGAUAUCGAAAAAUCCUUUAAAUCCUUUAUUUUCAUUUGAAUUAUAGUCGAUCUCUUAUUCUUUUUCUCUUAUAAAGAAAUCCCUCUCUUCUUUCUCUCGAAAUGACUGAUAGUUCACAAGCUGCUGCUAAGGUUGCUAUCAAUGAGGGUGCUAUCAUUUCUUUUACCUCUAGAAAUGAACAAAAUACGCCCUCAAUGGUAAAUGAAGUAGAUCUCAACAAUCUAAACAAUGAGCAAAUGAUCCAAUACAUCCAAAAGUUGCAGGCUACUCUCGAGUAGUACAAGACUUGGGGGAGGCAUCAGUCAUGGCUUCCAGAGAAAAGGAGAAAGUCUUCAUUGAUACCCCGAGGACUCGGACAGAGGCGGUCCAAAUGUAAGGUUGAGUUUGAAGAAGAUCAAUCAGACGAUGCUCUGAAAGAUGUCGAUUGGAAGCUGGUACUGGCUAUUCAAAGGUACUAGAAGGAGUAAGAGGAGAAUUUUGGCCUGGAUGGUGCCUCGCCUCUUUCGGAAGAAAUCUUAGCAGAAACAUUUCCAACCAAGCUCAAGUUGAUUAGCUUGGGCAAAUAUGAUGGAACGAUAGAUCCUAGAAGACAUUUGGCGAUCUUUAGGAUGACCAUGCAGCUUCAGGAUGUUAAUGACUUCAUGUUGUGCCGAGUGUUUUCGUCGACACUCAUAUGACUGGCUCAAAAAUGGUAUCAACAUUUGAGCCCAUAUUUAAUUUAGAACUUUUUGCAGUUCUUUACAUUAUUUAAAUCCAUAUUUAUUAUUUGUAUACCUCAUAAAAAACUCUCCUCUGACUUGUAAAAGAUCCGCCAAGGAGAGAGCAAGUCUUUAAGGAGCUUUAUCUCACGGUUUAAUACUGAAGCAAUACAAGUGGAGAAGUUAAAUCAUGAGAUAGCAUGUGAAGCAUUAAAGAAAGAAAUACACAACGUCAAGUUUAUGGAUUCCUUAAUAAAAAAAUCCAGCUGCAACGUAUCAAUAGUUGAUAGACAAAUCUCAAAAGUAUAUCAGGCUGGAUGAUGAAAUCCAAGCACUGAGAGAGGAUAAGAGGGUGAACCAAAAGUCAGAGAGGCAAGGACAUGAAGAAGACCACAUGAGUUAUCUUGUCUUCCAAAGGCGGGAUGACCAAAGUAAGUAUAAGAAUUAUAAUCCAGUAAAUGACUCAUGGAUACUUAUUCUAAUGUGGAUCAGGAAAAAUGAUAAGAAAGUCAGGUGGCCGCUCAAGCUCAAUCCUGAAAAGUAAAAAGAUGAGACUGGACUAAGGUACUACCGUUUUCACAAAGACCAUGAUCAUAUAACAGAGGAGUGUCGGCAGCUGAAAGAUGAGAUCGAGAGGCUAAUAAAGGACAACACUCUUCGAAGUUCGCCAAGAAGGGUAGGGAAGAGAGGAGAUCUGAACUCGAGGCAACAACUCCUGAAACCACCCCUAAUAGGGAGCUCAUGGGGAUUAUUCAUGUAAUUGCAGAAGUACCUAGUGAUGAUCAGGAAAAAUAAGCAAACCACAAAAGAUGUAAUAGCCAAUCUGAUAAGCUCAGUAAAAAAUUAAAAAGGACUAUUUAGGGUCUCGAAGGUUAUUCGCCCAAAGUCUUAUAGGCUGACCAAAUUAGAUGGUCGAGUCAUGGAAUAUUUAUAACCUGAGAAAAUUUUACUAAUAACAGCUAACAAGGUAUUUUUUUUAUAUAUUGUGUUCUUCAGUAAUAAGGAAAGAUGGGGUUGCCUUGUUAAAAAAAAAAAAAGAUCAAAGAGCAUUCAUAGAAAGCCACAAGGCAUUUUGCCAGGCUAGAAGACUGGGCAUUGGUCCUACUAAAAAAGGCAUUUCAUGCCAAGCCACAAAGCGGAAAUCUGCUAGGCCAUUCGGAUGUUAGUCCCACUAAAAGGCAACAAGGCAGUUUCAACCAUGCCAUAAUCCGGACAUUGGACUGUGGAAUCAAAGACAUUCAUACCAGGCCACAAGAAGGGUUCUGCCAAGCUAGAAGGCCGGGUGUUUCUCCUACUAAAAAAGCAUUUAUGCUAGGCUACAAGGCGAGAAUUCACCAGGUCAUUAAGGUUUUAGUCCCAUUAAAAAGCCAUAAGACAGUUUCAGCCAAAUCAUAAUCCAGGCGUUGGAUCGUGGAAACAAGGCAUUCAUGCCAAGCCAAAAGACAGGAAUCUGCUAGGUCAUCCGGGUGUUAGUCCCACUAAAAGGCCACAAGGUAGUUUUAGCCAGGCUAUAAUUCGGGCAUUGAACCGUGGAAACAAAGGCAUUCAUGUCAGGCCUCAAAGCAGGUUCCGCUAGGCUAGAAGAUUGGGCGUUGAUCCCACUAAAAAAGGCAUUCACACUAGGACAUGAGGCGGGCACAACUACCGAGUCUUAAUUCCAUAUAAAAAUUAAUGAGGCAUUUGAGACCCAAGCCACAAGAUGGGUGUUUGCAAUCGAGUACUAGUCUCAAGAUUAUAAGAAAUCCUAUAAGGUAUCUUAAGCCCAAGACAAGCAUCUGCCAGGCUAUAUGUCUGGGUGUUAAACCCGCUGUUCAAAAAUUUUCAAGUUAUUUAUUUUAUCACCACCAUGAUGGUGUCAAUACCUUAACAUUCUUUUAAAAGAAUAUAAUAUUUAUGGCUAAAUACUGAUCAUGCAAAACUGUCAAAAUAAAAUGGAAAGAUUUGUCAGUCAAAUAAAAGGAGUAUUACAGGGUGGGAGGGACAUCAUCAGUCGCCUCCUCUCGAGCUUCUAAUAUAGGUUCAUCAUGGGCUAUUGUAGUAGAAGUCGGGCUAGGAGGGUUGUCUUUAGUUAUUCCUUCCUCUUCCUCACCCUCCUCCUCCUCUAGAAGGAUGUCAUCUAUCCAAGUAAAGUCCUCAGAAGAAAACCACUUCACCAACUCCUUUUUGACUGAGUCUUGACUCUCGAUGAACAUCUCUCCUCUCCGAGCCACCAUCUCUUGAAGCUUAGUCUCUAAUUCAACAAUUCUGUUGGAGGUGGCCCAGUUCUCCUCAACCUGAGACUGUAGCUCUUGAACUCGGCGCUGAAGUAUGGCCACUUGAUCCUCAGCAUUCUUAGCUUGAUUCUCAAGGGAAAAUUUGGAAGUAUUGGCCUCACGCAGGUCUGUCUAGAGUUUGUCUACUGACUCAAAAGUCUCUUUCAUUGUGCCUUCCACCUCAUCAAUCCAAGUCUUUAGCCUCGAGCAUUCCUCUGCCAGGAGUCAUCUAUUCGUUUCUUGAGCACCAAACUCCUGCCUCAUGAACUUAUUAUGUCUUUGGCUAUAUAGGAACAAAAGGCACUCUCCAAGGCAGAAUGCAUGACAUUGUCAAAAAGCUCAUCUGUCUCGAUCUCGUUCAGGUGACGACGGUCUCCGAGCCUUAAAGCAUUCUUGGUUAACAAGACGGCCAGGCUACGAUCUUCAAGGAGAGAGGAAGUUUGGGUUAGUGCCAGUGCUAGCCGUUGAACGCUAGGAGGCCAUGAGCAAUCAAUCCCCAUGUUCGCAGGAAUGGGCUCAGUAGAAGUGGGGACUGCAGCAAAAGGCUCAAAAACUGGGACAAAUGCAGAGGCACCUAUUGCAAAAGACUCAGGUUGUGAAUGAGUCGACUCUUCUAUUGUAGGUUGGGGAGAAGGAGGAGGAAGCAUGGUUACUUCUUCCGCUCGACGUGCAUACUUGGGAAGGGGAUCGGUGGCCCCAGCGACAGCUUUGCCUUUACAGGCAACAUGCGCCGCUUUAGCAAAUUUGCUUUUUGAUCCGGCCAUAUCUGCAUAAAUUGAAAAGUAAGUAAGUAAGGCAGUUUGAAAUCUAAGAGAAGGCAGAAAGAAAAAUACCUUGAUCUCUAGCCAGAGAAGUGCUCUCUCCAAGUCUAGGAAGGUUGGGUAGGUGAGGACCUCGAGUCUGGCUCGCCUGAAGAUGACUUUGCCAAGACAAAAUGACAUUCAUCACAACCUUAGUAAUUUUCAGUUUUUGGGACGUAGCCAUUGUCUGGAGGAAGGCCAAAGCUUUGUCCUCAUCCCUCUACGGUUGGACCUCAUCCCUUCAUAACUCUACCCAUAUAUUCCAGCUUGUUCAAAGACGACCAAAACCCCCUGACACCUGUGACAAAGAAUGAAAAAUUUAUUCUUCCAACGUUUCAAAGAUGAAGGGAUCCGAUCCAAGAGCGUCUGACGUUUUCUCCCACUGAAGUACUAUAAUUCUUCGUUCUUUCGGGUACCUAGCUAUACAAUUGGGAGAAUAACGCAACACUCAGCUCAAUAUUGUUGUUAAAAUGAACAAAAUGGAAGGCCACCAAGAUUCUCCAACCGUUGGGAUGCAGCUUGGUGAUUGAAAGUUUAUGGAACCGGAGGACCUCAACAAAAAAUGGGUCCUUGAGGAACCGAAGACUCUCCUUUAGCUGCUCUUUGUAAAGUAUAAUGGUAUCCUUUGUAGAGAUCUGGUCAUCUGUGCAAACAUUCGAGGAUAGAGCAAAAAAUAUGAAAGGUUUCUCGAGAAAUUUGGUAUUUAUCGUGAAGACGAUCUACAUCUUGCUCUGAUAGGAUAGACGGGAUGUCACUAAUCAAGCUACCUUCACUUUUUUUAUCCGCCCUCAAUGGAACGAUAGGAGUUGGGGCACGAAUGGGGCUGUUGGAGGAGGAGCUUGAGGUGGAACUUCCACAGGUAGUAAAAGAAGAAGAGGAAAUAUUCCUAUUCAUUCUAAAGGGAAAAAGAAAACAAAAAUUACCGUGAAAGCAAGGGAGUAUAAAUGAGAAAGAAGGAGUGACCGAAUCUUUUAAGAAGUAGAUAUUACAAUUGUGACAAAAAAUGAUGUUUGGAGAAGAGGAGUUCUUAUAAGAUGGUUUUGACAGUAGACUUUAAAUGCUGCUUAAGAAACGGGGUAGAUCAUUGAAGAGCUAGGUAGGUGAAAUGACGCAAGCAGGAAAAGACCAAUCUCAAUGAGCCUCAUGCCCCAGGUCGUGAGAACAACUGUCACCUUUGAAUUUGAAGAAUCAAAGACCAACAGAGGGACCUCUGAUGCUACAUAAGAAUCGCCCAAAGUAAGCCAUGACUUGUCAUCAUAAAAUAGGAUCACGUGCCAAGGGUCUGAUAAGUGGAUGCCCAGUCCCACCCAAGGAAAGGAGACCCAGACAUCGUUACGCUCGGUUCUUUACCAAGAUUCGCCCUCCCCUGAAGAGUUUGAGUCUUGGCAUAAAGUUACCAUUAAUAGGCAAGCCAGCAUAUCCCCAUUAUGUCUGUAAUCACGGGAUCAUCGACUGAUUAGUUGGCAAAAUCUCUUAUCAAAUAGGCGGUCACAUCAUCAUCGAAUUUUCAGGAAAUACUAUAUUAACUCCAUUCUCUUAUAGUAUAAAAACUAAUGAUCAUAGAGGCAAAGAUAUGUAAUUGUUACACAAGUACACUUGAGUUCUAAAUAAUUUUUUAUACUUGCCCUAUUCUCCAAUUUACUAAUUUGAGCAUCGGAGUGACUGUUGUAGGCACCAACCACCUCACUUUCUCUUUCUUGCAGGUUUAACCAAUCGCAACACAGCUCUAUUUUUUUGUCGCAUCAAUUAUUGUUAUUAUUAUUUUUUUAUUAUUAUUGACUUGUUAUGAUAUUUUAUAUAAGUAAAGGAGAUGAUAAACUAUAUAGUUUUUUAUGUGGCCGAAACAGAGCUAUGCUGCGAUUGGCCAAUCUGCAAGAAAGAGAACGUAAGGUGGUUGACACCUAUGGCAGCCACUUUGACGCUCAAGUCAGUAACCUAAAGAAAAGGGUGAAUAUAAGAAAUUACGUAGAAUUCAAGAGUAGUUGUGUAAGAAUGUGUACCUUGGUCUCUAUGAUCAUUAGCUUUUAUACUAUAAGAAGAUGAGUUAAUUACCGCAUCUCCUGAAAAUCCGACUUGGUAUUGGCUAAUUGAUAGUGAAUCCCAUGAUUAUAGGCUAAUUAAUAGGGAUCUGUUGGGUUGUAUCUACUAACCAGCAACUUCAUAUGAAGACUGGACCUAUUCAGGAGAGGGUGAGUCUUGAUGAAGAACAGGGUGCCAUGGUAUUUGGAUCUUCCUUUCCAUGGGUGGAACCGCAUAUUGGCUUAUCAGACCCUUGCCACGUGACCUUAUCUUAUGGUGACAGCUCAUAGCUUAUUUUGGGAGAUUAUUAUAUUACAUCAGAGGUCCCUCCACUGGUCUUCGAUUCUUUAGAUUCAAAGGUGACAGUUGACUUCACGAUCUUGGGCACGUAGCAUAUCUAGAUUGGCUUUCAUACUCUCAUUGCUCUACCUGCCCCUAAUCAUAAAUGAUUAUUGUCUUGUUCUUCGAGCCGCAUUAAAAACCUGCCAUCAAAAUUGCCAUAUAAGAACCUUUAUUCUCCUCCAAAUAUCACCUUUUCUCACAACUAACAUCUUUACUUUAGAGAAGACUCGACCAUUCCUCUUUUUCGUUCACACUUCCUAGCUUCAAGAUAAUUCCUAUUUGCUUUCCCUUUUUAAAAUGAAUAGGAAUACUUCCUCUUCUUUUUCUUCUUCUUCCAAUGAAAGUUCUGCCUCAAGCUCCUUAUCCGAUGGCCCCAUCCGCACUCUAGCUCUUAUCAUUCCGCUAAGGGCAAUUCAUGAGAAUGAAAGCAUCCUGAUUAAUGACAUCCCUUCUAUACUAACUGAGAAGGAUGUAGACCAUUUGCACGAUCAACACCACAUCUCUCAAGAAACCUUCUGUGUCUUUGCUCCAUCUCUGAGUAUUCGCUUGGAUGACCUAAUCCAUGUGGAGGAUACCAUCAUGGUCUACGAGGAGCAGCUGAACGUAGGUCUUUGAUUUUUUAUAGACCCAUUUUUUACCGAGGUCCUCCGAUUCUAUAAGUUGUCAGUCGCCCAACUGCAUCCUAAUAGUUGAAGGAUCUUGGUGGCCUUCCGAUUCAUUUUUUUAACAAUAAUAUAGAGCCAAGUGUUGCACAUUUUUCCCAAUUAUACCAACUAGGUACAUGAAAGAAUAAGGAGUUAUGGUUCUUCAGUGGGAGAAAACAGCAAACGCUCUUCGACCAGAUCCCUUCAUCUUUGAAAUACUGGAAGAAUAAAUUUUUCAUUCUCCGCCACUGGGUUUCCAGGGGUUUCGGUCCCAUCCGUAGCAGCUGGAAUGUGUAUGUAGAAUUGAGAAAGGAUAGGGUCCAGCCAUAGAGGAGUGAGGACGAGGCUUUAAACUUCCUCCAAGCGAGGGCCAUGUCCUAGAAAAUAGACAUCACCAAGGCGGUGAGUAAUGCCAUCUUAUCUUGGCAAAGCCAUCUCCAAGCGAGCCAAGCUUGGGGUCCUCACCCUCCAAGCCUUCCUUGCCUUGAGGAAAGCACCUCUCUGGCUAGUGAGCAGGAAAUUUCUAUUUCCAACUCUUUUUUUUAUUUCAAACUACCUUACUUACUAAGUUUUUUCUAUACAGAUAUGGCCAGAUCAAAAAACAAGUUUGCUGAGACAGCAUGCGCCACUCGCAAGGGCAAAGCAAUUGUUGGAACGAUCGGUCUACCUCCUAAAUGAGCUCGUCAUAUCGAGGAGAUUAUCAUGCUUUCUCCUCCUCCACCCCCUCAUGUAACAGAAGAAUCGGUCCCUAUUCAGCCCAAGUCUUCUACAAGGGGCACCCCUGCAGUAGUCCCUGUUUUUGUUGAGCCGUCCGUCGAGAACACUGGUGUCGAAUCCCAGUGGCUUCAUAGCAUCCAACACCUGGCGCCAACACUAACUCGGAUGACCUCUCUACUUAAGAAGUCUUGCCUAUCAGUCCUCAUAGCCAAGAAUGCUUUGACGCUCGGGGACCGUCAUCGCCUGAAUGUGGUCGAGACGGACAACCUUUUCAACAAUAUCAUGCACUCAGGCAUGGAGAGUGUCUUCUGCGCAUACAUGGCCAAGGAGCAAAACAAGGCUCUGAGGCAAGAUUUCGAGGCUAGGAGGUAGACAAAGGUCUCCUACAAGAGGAAUGCUGAAGGAUGAAGGCUCGGGUCGAGAAAAUGGAGUACCCUCCACACUAGAGUCCGUUGACAAACUCCAAGUAGACCUGGACGAGGCUAAUACUUCAAAACUGGCCUCUGAGAACCCAGCUAAAACUUUGAGGACUAGGUGGCUACUCUCAAACACCAAGUCUAGGAGUUGCAGUCUCAGGUUGAGGAGAACCAUGCUGCCUCCACCAAGAUCGCUAAACUACAAGCAGAACUUUAAGAGACGAUGGCCUGGGAAAGGGAGAUGUUCGUCGAGGGCCAAGACUCGAUCAAGAAGGAGCUAGUGAAGUGGUUUCCUUUUGAGGAAUUUGCUUAGAUAGAUGACAUCUUCCUAGAGGAGGAGGGCGAGGAUGAGCGAGAGGAAGAGAGGAUUAAAGACAUCGACCAAGUCUCUGUAGAAAAUAUAAAAGAUGUAGAGAAUGUAAAUGUAACAGAGAUUUGGGAGAAGAAAACUAAAGAUAUCCCUCCUCUUAUGUAAUCUUUCGUGAUGUAAUAAAAGUAUCUCUUCUCGUAUCUUGCCAUUAUUUUUUACCAAGUGUUUGUAUGAUUGGUACUCCACCAUAACACUCGUCCAAUCAAAAAAGACUUUAAACAAUCUCUAAAAAUUGCUAAGAGGUUAACACCUAGCCAAAAAGAACUUGGUAAUCAUUGCCUUCGUUAGAAAAAUGACUAAAAUAGGCUUUGCCAAAUGAACAGAACACCUAGUCACUAGCCUAACUGGUGGUCAUGAAAUGAAUGACUUGGAAAAUUAACACUCGAACAUAUGGCUUGGCGAACACCUGCCUUAUGGCCUAGGCAUGUGCCUGAGAGAAAUUUAUAAGUGGGGAAAACACCCGGUCAUGUGGCCUGGUGAAUACCCACCUCAUGGCAAUUUUUGGUAGAGAUUCGCCUCUGUCUUUUGGGACUAAUGUCCAAAGACUCGCCUAGUGGUUACCCGCCUUAUGGCGAUUACGGUAGAAAACUUGCAUUUGUCUUUUAGGAUUGACGCCUAAAGACUCACUUAGCGAUUACCCGCCUUAUUGCGCUUUUCGACAGAAAAACGUUAUUUUUAUUAACAGGACUAAUCACCCGGUCAUGUGGCCUGGACAUAAAAUGCCUUGGAAAAUUUUUGUGAAACAGGACUGACACCUGGUUGUGCAGCCUGAUGGAUACCCGCCUUGUUUUCUAGGAAUAAAAUGCCUUGAAAACUUUUUGUGAAAUGAGACUAACACCCGAAUUACGGCCUGGUAGAUACCCACCUUGUGGCCUGACAUAAGAUGCCUUAUUUAGCGGGACUAACACUGGGAUCAUGACCUGGCAGAACCUGCCUUAUGGCCUGGCAUAAGAUGCUUUAUUUAGCGAAACUAACACCCAGAUUAUGACAUAGCGGAUACUCGCCUUGUGGCCUAGCAUAAGAUGCUUUGUUUAGCGGGACUAACACUCGGAUUAUGGUCUGGCGGAUACUCGCUUUGUGGCCUGGCAUAAGAUGUCUUGUUUGGUGGGACUAACACCCGGAUUAUGGCCUAACGGAACCCACCUUGUGGCCUGGGAUAAGAUGUCUUGUUUAGCGGGACUAACACCCAAAUUAUGGCCUGGUGGAACUCGCUUUGUGAUCUGGCAUAAAAUGCCUUGUUUAGCGGGACUAGCACCCGGAUUAUGACCUGGUGGAACCCUCCUUGAUGAAUGCUCUUUAAUCCUUUUGAAGAAGGCAACCCUAUCGUUCUUUGUCACUGAAUAAUAUAAUACAUGAAAAAUACAUCAUUAAAAAUUUUCUCAUAUUAUAAAUAUUUCAAGAGUGGGGAAUGACUCAGCCAUCUAACUUGGUCAGCUUAUAAGACCCUGAACGAAUAACUUUUGAGACUCUAAAUGGUCCUUUCCAGUUUUUUCUCAACUUACCAGACUCGGUAUUACCUCCUAUUAUAUCUGUUCUUUUAAGGACUAAGUCUCCUAUAUUAAAGACACGUGACCUGACUCUACUGUUGAACAUUCAAGACCUCUUCUGUGACUUAUUUAUUUUUUCCUUACUAUCGCUGGGUCCUCCUGCAACUACAUAUAUAAUCCCCACAAGUUCACGGUCAGAGGUAGUUUCAGGAGUUAUUACCUCGAGUUUGGGCCUCCUCUCUUCUCUAUUUUGUCUGGAAAACAUUCAAAGUCUGUCAUCCCUUAUUAACCUUUCAAUCUCGUCUUUCAGCUACUGGCACUCCUCCAUUGUAUGUUUGUAGUCUUCGUGAAAACGACAAUACAUGCUCCUAUCUCGCCUUUUGGCUCUCUCAAGGUUAAGCUUAGGAGGCCACCUGACUUGUCAUUUUUUCUAAUCUACAUUAGAAUACGUGUUCGUGAAUCAUUCAAUGGAGUAUAAUCUUUAUACUUAAUUUGGAUAUCCCUUCUUCGGGAUACUGAGUGACUUCCAUGGUCUCCUUCAUAUCCUUGCCUCUCUAACUUUUGGUUUUGCUUUUGACUCAUCCUUUUAUCCUUUCUCAACGCUUGGACUUUGUUAUCCAGCCUGAUGUGCUUUUGGGGCAUUAUCCAUUAGCUAUUGGUACGUAAUGACUGGGUUCUUGAUUAGGGAAUCCAUGAACUUGAUGUUGUGUGUUCCUUUCUUUAAUGCUUCACAUGCUAUCUCAUGAUUUAAUUCCUCCACCUGUAUUGCUUUUGUAUUAAACUGUGAGAUAAAGCUCCUUAAAGACUCGCCCUCUCCUUAACGGGUCUUCUGCAAGUCAGAGGAGAGCUUUUUAGGAUGUAUACAAGUAAUAAACCUAGAUUUAAAUAACAUAGUGAAUUGCGUAAAGUUUUGAAUUAAACCUGGGCUCAGAAGUUAGUACUAUUUUUGAGCUAAACCUGUGAGUGUUGAAGGAAAUACUCAGCAUAACACGAAGUCGUUGAUAUCUUAAAGCUGCAUGGUCAUCCUAAAGAUCACUAGGUGACUGUUGGGAUUUGUUGUUCCAUCAUAUUUGUCCAACCUUGGUAGUUUGAACUUGGUUGAAAAAGUUUUUGCUAAGAUCUCUUUUGAUAGGAGCGAGGCAUUUUUCAAGCCAUAGUCCUCCUCUUGCUCCUUCUGGUACCUUUGCACGGCCUAAACCAACUUCCAGUCGACGUUCUUUGGAGCCUCAUCCGAAAACUCUUCAUCAUCCAGUUUGGCCUUUUCUUUGAACUGGGCUUGGAUCGCUUCUAUCCAAGUCCUUGGAGUAUCAAUGGAAGCAUCCUCCUUUACCUUGGGAGCCAUAAAUAAUGCCUCCCCUUAAGCUUUGUAUUGCUCGAGAGUAACCUAUAACCUUUUGAUGUAUUGGAGCAUUUGCUUAUUGUUCAGAUUGUCGAGAUCUGUUUCAUUGACUAUAGAGGGUGUGUUUUGCCCACUACCAGGAACGAAAGAAAUGAUAGUGCCCUCAUUGGUAGCAACCUUAGCAGCAACUCGCAAAUUGUCGACCAUUUCGAGAGAAAGAAAAGAAAGAUUUCUUCUUAAGCAAAAGGGGAUAAGAGACUAAUUUUAAUUCAAAUGAACAGAGAGAAUUCAAUGGAUAAUCUCAGUAAUAGAGCCAAAUGAUAUGGCCAAAACAUAACUGUGCUGUGAUUAGUCAAUCUGCAACAAAAAGAAUGUGAGGUGGGUGGCACAUAUAGCAGUCACUCUAACGAUCAAGUCAGUAAACUGAAGAAAAGAGCGAAUGUAAGGAACUGCUUAGAAUUCAAGAAUAGUUGUGUAAGAAUGCAUACAUUAGUCUCUAAGAUCAUUGGUUUUUAUACUGUAAGAAGAUGAGUUAAUUAUGACAUCUCUUGAAAAUCUGGUUUGAUACCAGUUAAUUGAUAGAAGAUCCCAUAAUUAUAGGCUGAUAGGGAUAUGUUGGAUUAUAUAUGCUAACAGACAACUUUAUAUGAAGACUCGACCUAUUCAGGAGAGGACGAGUCUUGAUAAAAAAUCAGGUAUUACAGUUUUCGGAUCUUUCUUUCCAUAAAUGGGACCGCAUAUCGACUUACUAGAUCCUUACCACAUGGUCUUGUCUUAUGGUGACAGCUCAUGAUUUAUUUUGGACGAUUGUUAUGUUACAUCAGUGUUGUUAUUUUCACAACUUAAAAAUUUUUUAUUUGAGUUAAAUUUUAUUUUGUAGUGAUUUCAAUUAAAUUAAAUUGGCAUUGUUGGUUCAUAAUUCGGUUAACAAAAAUUUUAAGUCAGUUCGUUAACUGAAUUGACACCCUUAUUUGAUUACCUCAAUAAAAUUUUUUUAGUUUGGUUCUUAUAUUAAAACACAUUAUGGUUUUAAACCAUGCAUUUAUCUAAAAUUAAAAAUUUAAUUUAUUAUGUUUCUAAAUAUAAAAAUUGAUAAAAAAAAUAAUUACAUUAAAAUUUUGAAUUCUAUGUUUAUUAUAAUUUAUUUUUGAAUUCUAUGUUUAUUUUGUUGGUAGGAAUAUUUUUGAAUUCUAUGUUUAGUUUGUUGAUGGGAAUAUCCUUUUGGAAUUCCCUUCAGAUGCCUACUUUUCAAGAACAAAUAAUUGGAUUCUUAUCAAAGAUAAUUCAUGUUAUUCUCAUUACCUCAAAAAAAUUCAUCUACUUGAACGAAACAUGCAUUUAGCGAAAAUUCAAUUUAAUUAACUUAUUUUUUAUUAAUUUUUUAAUUAAAAAUACAUAAUUUUAUAAUAAUUUAUUUAAAUUUUUUCUAACAUAAUAAAUCAUUACAUAAAAAAUAAAAAAAAUUAUAGAUAAUUUAUAAUUAGGUCUUGUCAAUAUCUAAAUUUUAAAAAUUAACCAUUGCAAUGAAAACAGUUGAAAUUUUGGAAGGAUGGGUGGGAAAGGACAACACUAUGGAUGGAUUAUUAUGAGCGAGAAAUACUAUUAAAUCCUGAGUUUUUAAAUAAAUUUAUUAAUUUAUUUUUAUUUUAAAAUUAUUUAAAUUAAAAUAUUUUUAUAAAAAUUAUUAAUUAAUUUAUUUUAAUAUUGUUCAGAAAGUUUAAAUAAUAAAAAUAUUUAAAAUUAUAAUAACUAAAUAAUACAUAUACUUAAAAUUAUAAAGACAAAAUAAAAAAUAAUUUGAAACAAUAAUUUUUAAUAAAUAUCAAUAUUUUUAAUUUGAUCCGAUCAAUAAAUAAUAAAAACAGAGAGUUAAAGAUUUAAAAUUCAAUCGUAGUCGAACUGAAAUUUAAACGGAACAUUACUAAAUGAAUAUAAUAAAAUUAAUAAUAAUAUUUUUAUUAUAAUUAAUACUUUUAUGUAUUUUUAUAAAUAAUUAUUAAAAUAAAUUUAAUAAUGUGAAAUUUUAAAUUCAAUAAUUUUAAAUAAUAAUAUAACUGCAUCUAAUAAGAAAAACUUAAAAUUAAAAUUUUAUAAUUAAUAAAAUGAAAAAUAAAAAUAAUUAUAUUAAAAUUAUAUAAAAUAAUACAUAUAUUUUAAAUGUUUCAUUUUCCUAAACAACAAAAAGGCAACUGGAUGAAAUUUUUUGAGAUAACGAGAAUAACAUGAAUUAUCUUUUUGUUUAAUUUGAAAUAUUUGGUAUGGAUCCAUUUAUUUGUUUUUGAAAAGUAGGCAUCUCAAAGGCAUUCUAAAAGGAUAUUCCUAUCAACAAAAUAAUAACAAAUAGCACAUUUUAGAAUAUUCCAAAAUUAAAUAAAUUUCAUAUUCAAUUUAUUUUUGAAAUUUAUAACUUUCCAAAAAUUUAAUCAAUUAUUUUUUUAUUAAUUUUUAUAUUUAAAAAUUACCGUAAAAUUAAAUUACGUGGCAAAAGAUAUGAUAAAUGGACAUUAUGGUUCCAUCUGAAAAAAGAAAUAUCUGAACACUUUAAUAUUUAGUUUAUCAUUAAGAUUUGUCCUCAUUCGAAUAGGAUGACUCUCGAUAUAAAAAUUAAUAUUAACAAGCACAAUUUCAUAAAUUCUAUUAUGCCAAUAAUUUCGAGAACACCGAUCGAUUAAUUGACGAGAUUACUUAUAAAAAACUGUUAUAUUUAACUCUAUUCUCUAUAAAAAUCAACUAUUACUGAAAUAAAAUUACACAAUUCUCUUAUAAAAAAUACUCUAAAAUUUUAUAUUAUUGACUUAAGUGUAGUGGUUAUCAUGAACACCCACCACUUCACUUUUUUUUUCUUACAGAUUUAGUUAAUUUAUAGAACAAUUCUAAUUUCUAAUCGCAUUAGAAACAUAAUAAAAUUUAAUUUUACUGAUUUAUAUUUUAAAAUUAUAACGAGUUCUUAUACUAGAGUGGAGUUAGAAAAUUUUUAUUGGAGUGAAUUAAAAGUUUUAAUUCGAUUAAUGAAUUGAAUCAAAAUUUUUAUUAGUCGAAAUUUGAAUAAAAAUGUCAAUUGAAUUUAAUAAAAUUACAAGAAAAUAAAAUUUAAGUCAAACCAAAGAUAUUGGGAUCGUGAAUAUAACCAAACUAUAUAUUGUCGUCACUUUUAUAAAGUAUUGGGCUCGUGAAAACAACCAAACUAUAUAUAUUGUCAUCUUAUAAAAAGUAACACAAAAUAAUAAUAAUAAAUUUAAAGUUAUAAUUAAUUAAAUUAAAAUUAAUCAAAUUGAUAAUAGAAACUCAAAAAUAAAAAUUUUAAAUUAUUAAAAGAAAAAGCAAUAGAAUGGAAAGUAGUAUUAUGAUCGUGUCAAUGUUUACAUAUAUAAUAACACAAAAAGUCAAAUUAUAAAAUUUUUUAUAGAUUAAAAUUAUAACAAUUUUAUAAUAUAAUAAAGAUUACAUAAUUAUAAAAAAAAUUAUUAUUUAGCCACUAUUAUAUAUAAAAAUUCAUUAAUUAAUCUUUUAAAUUUAAAAAAUAUAUUAAAAUAUUCUUCACGUUUUAAAAAGUCUACUAAUUAGUCACUUCAUUGACUAUUUUACUAUUUAAUUUUUAUGAUAUUAAAAAAUUUAUUAAUUGACUUUUAGAUUUUUAAAAAGUUUAAUUAGUUCUUUUGUAUCAGGAGCAUUUUAAAUCUUUUCACAAUAUUUAACGGUUAAAACUAACGAAAGAACUAAUUAGCAGAUUUUUUAAAAUGUUAAAAACGUCUUAAUAUGUAUUUUUUAAAGUUACAGAACCAACUAGUGAAUUUUUCUAUAUUAUAGGAACUAAAUAAUAAUUAUCUCUAAUUCUAAUUUUAUUUAUCAUAUAAUUUAUAAUAUAAAUUUAUCAUAUAAAAAAUUAGUCAAUAACAAAAUAUUACAUUAAAUUAUUGCAUAAAGAUCAUAGAAUUAAAAAGAAAAAAUAAUAUAAAUCUUAAAUAUAUCAAACAAUAACAUAAGAUUAAAAAAAUCAGCAAUAAAAUUAGAUUUUUAGUUAUAUAUUUAUUUAUCACAUAAAAAUAUUUAAAAAAUCUAAUUUUAAAAAAUAUUAAAAAGAACUCUACCUUACAGGUUUAUUAUUAAAAUAAUAUAAUAUAUAAAACAGUUAACAAAUUUAAUGUGGUUUUUAAACAAAUUUUUUUGAAAAAAAGGCUUCUUGAAAUGGUGUUUUUUAAAGUAAACACUGCUCUACAAAUGGCUUAAAAACCACAUCAAAUUUGUAAAUUUUUUUUAAAAUUAUAUUAUUUUAAUUAUAAAUCCUACUUAUCAUUAAAAUACCUAAAUAUUACUUAUACCAUAUACAAUCACUCAAAAUAAACUAUGAACUAUCACUAUAGAAUAGGAUCCUGAUAAGCUAACACACAUUCACAGAAGUCUUAUCCCUGGAUAGGAAAAUUAGGACACCACAACACUUAUUGUUCAGAAUGUCAAGACUCGCUCUCUUCUAUGUUGACUGAGUCUUUCAUGGAAUAAAGUUACCGUUAGGGGAUGUAAUCUAAUAGAUACUCAUUAUGCCUAUAAUUAUGAGAUCCCUUAUCUACUAGCCGGUACCAAUCAGAUUUCCAUGAGAUUUGAUAAUUAACUCCAUUUUCUUACAAUAUAAAAGUAAACGUGCACAGAGUUCAAGAUACACAUUCUUACACAUUCAUUCUAAACUCAAAACAAUAUAUUACAUUCGUCCUUUCUAGUAAGUUACUGACUUGAGUAUCGGAUUGGCUACAUAGGUGCCAACCACCUCAUUCUUUUUCUUUCGCAAAUUGACCAAUCGCAGGUUAGUUCCAUUUCCAGCCAUAUCAUUUGGUUUCAUUACCGGGAUCUUCUAUUGAAUUGUUCCUUUUUAUUUGGAUUAAAUUUGGCCUCCUAAUCAUUUUUUCUUUCUCUUUCUCCUCUAUUCUUGAAAUGGCUGACAACUCACGAGCUGCUGUUAAGUUCGCUGUUAACAAGGGGGCCAUCAUCUCUUCCACUCCUGGCAGUGGACAGGACAUGCCAUCUCUGAUCAAUGAGGCGGAGCUUAACAACCUGAAUAAUGAGCAGAUACUCCAAUACAUUAAAAAGCUAUAGGCAACUCUCGAGCAAUACAAAGGUCAGAAGGAUGCCUAAUUUAUGGCUCCCAGAAUAAGGAAGGAGACUUCCUUUAAAGCUUCGGAUACUCGAACAGAAGCGGUUCAAACAUAGUCUAACGAAAAGGGCAAGCUGGAGGAUGAGGAGUCAUCAGACGAGACUCCAAAAGACGUCUACUGGAAGCUGGUCCGUGCUAUACAAAGGUACCAGAAGAAGCAAGAGAAGGACUAUGGCCUGAACAAUGCCUCGCGCUUGUCGGAGGAAAUCCUUAUAGAAUCCUUCCCUACCAAAUUCAAACUGCCUAGUUUAAAUAAAUACGAUGGGACAGCAAACUCCAGAAGCCACCUGGCAAUCUUUAGAACAACGAUGUAGCUUCAGAAUGUCAAUGAUUUUAUGCUGUGCCGAGUGUCCUCGUCCACACUCACAUGCUUGGCUUAUAAAUAGUACCAACAUCUAAGCCCAAGUUUUAUUCAAAAUUUUACUCAUUUUGCUAUGAUGUUUAAAUAUAGAUUUAUUACCUGCAUACCUCUUAAAAAACUCUUAUUUGACUUGUGAAAGAUCCAUUAAGGAGAGAUUGAGUCUUUAAGGAGCUUCAUCGUAUGUUUCAAUGCUGAAGUGAUACAGGUACGUAGAAGAGUUUAAUCACGAAAUAGCGUGUGGCGCAUUGAAAAAGGAAACUCACAACAUCAAAUUCAUAGAUUCUUUAAUAAAAAACCAUGCCGCUACUUAUCAGCAGUUAAUGGAUAAAUCUCAGAAGUACAUAAGGCUGGAUGAUGAAGUCCAAGCGCUCAAGAAAGACAAGAGGACAAGUCAACAUGAGACCCAAAAGCCAGAAAGGCGAGGGUAUAAAUGAGACUGCAAGAAUUAUCCAAUGUCCUAAGGAAGGGAGGACCUAGGUAAGUAUAAGAGGUACACAUCAUUGAAUGACUCACAAAUACACAUUGUAAUGUGGAUUAGGAAGAACGAUAAAGAGGUUAGAUGGCCCUGAGAAAGCUGGUAGGUGAGACAGGACCAAGUACUACCAUUUCCAUGAAGAUCAUGGGCAUACAAUGGAAGAAUGCCGACAACUAAAAGAUGAAAUUGAGAGGUUGAUAAAGAAUGCCACGCUUUGAAAGUUCACCAGAAAAGACAGAGAGAAAAGGAGACCCGAGUCUAAGGUAAGAACUCCGAAAAACACCACUGAUAGUGAACCCAUGGGGUUAUACAUGUGAUUGCAGGUGACCCUAAUGACAGCAAGGGCAAGAACAAGCGUGUUGUUGAGGACGUCUUGUCCAUAGAACAAGAUCCAUGGGCAAAGCAGGAGAUAAAGUUUGGACCUGCAGAUAAGGUGACAGGGUUUUUUCAUACUGACUUAAGGCGGGCCUUGGUCAACACAAAAGGCAGCUCCAUCAAUCUCAUUACUCUAGAUGUUUUUAAUAAGUUAGGUCUAGAUAAAUGUAACAUCGCUAAAGUCUCCUAUCCAUUAGUGGGAUUAGGGGAUAAGAUCGUGGCAGUUCUGGGCACCAUUAACCUUCCUUUUUACUGGGUAAUGAGAAGUACAAGCGAGAGUUGUAUGCAGAGUUCGCAGUGGUAGACAUUUCACUAACCUACAAUGUAAUACUCGGUUGCCUAGUCCUAAACUGUCAUGGGAUAGUUUUUAACAUGGGUGCUAUGUGUUUAAAGCUGCUAGCUCCAGGAGGAUUAGCUAUCUUUCGAGGCAGCCAGAAAUCAAUCUAGGAAUGUUACAAGCACUCGAAGAAUAGCCUUGGGAAGACAAAGAUGCCCAUUGAUCUGCUAGAGAAAUUAGAUUCUCAUUCAAAGCCAAAGCUCUCAAACCCAGUAAAAGAAGUCCAACUAGAAACUAAUAAAAAGGUAUGCUUUGGAACUGCAUUAGAUAAUGAAGUAAGAAAUAAAUUAAUAGAAUUGCUAAAAUGCAGAAUGACCACUUUUGCUUGGUCUCUAAAAGAUAUAAAAGGUAUUGACCAGACUUUUAUCACCCACAAGUUGUCCAUCGACGAGACAAUAAAAUCGAUACAGUAAAAGAAAAGAAAAUUUUGCACCAGAUAGAAGCAUGUGAUUAAGGAGGAGGUUAAUAAACUCUUAAGUGCAGGACUGAUAAAAGAGAUCCAAUAUCCUACAUGGCUCGCCAGUGUAAUACUGGUCAAUAAGGCAAAUGGAAAGUGGAGGAUGUGCAUGGACUUCACUUACUUAAACAAAGCGUGUCAAAAAGAUCACUAUCCACUCCCGCCCAUCGACAGGUUAGUAGACUCUACCUCAGGACAUGCAAUGGUCUCCUUCUUUAAUGCCAUUUUAGGUUACCACUAGAUCUUGAUGGACCCCAAAGAUGCAGAAAAAAUUACUUUCAUCACCGAUGAAGGAGUUUUUUUAUUACAAGAUGAUGCCGUUUGGAUUAAAGAAUGCAAAGGUGACCUACCAAAGGCUGGUGUGAAGCAUUUUCAAAGACUUGGUAGGAAUAACGAUUGAAGUAUACGUGGACAAUAUGGUAAUGAAAAGCCAAACCUUAGAAGAUUACUCAAGAAACAUCUAAAUGGUUUUCGACAUACUGGAUAAGGCAGGUAUGAAACUUAACCCUAAAAAUGUACUUUUGGAGUAAGAGUUGGAAAAUUUCUAGGGUAUAUAGUCUCUGAAAGAGGCAUAGAAGCAAACUUGAAAAAAAAUUAAAGCCAUCUAAAAUGUGAAAGCACUCAAGUGCAUAAAUGACAUACAGAAAUUGAAUGGGUGGGUCACAGCUCUUGGUCAGUUUAUAUAAUGCUCGACCAGGAGGUGCUUCCCAUUCUUUAAAGCUUUAAAAGGCAAAUAUAAUUUUCUGUGGAAGAAUUUAAAAAUUAAAAGCUUUUUUAUCAUCUCCUCUUUUGUUAAGCUCGCCCAUCGAAGGCGAGGUUUUAUUUUCCUAUCUAUUUGUCAUGCAGGAAACAACAAGCUAUACGCCCGUACGAGAUGACAAGGGAGAGCAAAGCCCUGUCCACUAUGCCAGUCAAGUCUUAAAGGGGGAGGAAUUGAAUUAUCCCUCUCUCGAGAAGAUGUCUGCCAUCAAAUUGCAUCCCUACUUCGAGUCGCAUACAAUAGAGGUAAGGACAAACUAUCCUCUAUGAAAGGUACUUUAAAAGCCAAAGUUGUAAGGAUGGUUGUCCACCUAAGCCAUGAUGCUAUCAGCAUACGACAUCAGGUAUGUCUCAAGAAACACGAUGAAAGCCCAGGCUGUAACUGAUUUCAUUGCAGAAAUGACUCAACCCCAGGAGACCUCAGAAAUGUUGGUUGAAGAAUGGAAGGUUUGGGCAGAUGGUGCCUGUGGAGCCAGUGGCUCUGGAAUCAGAAUCCUUUUGCAAAGUCAGACAGAAAUAAAGCUUCAUUACGUAGUAAAACUAGCCUUCAAUGCCAUGAACAAUGUAGCUAGGUACGAGGCUGUGACUAUAGCUCUAAGAAUUAUCGCGGAGAUAGGUAUACAAAAGUCAAUUAUUUUUAGUACCUCACAAUUAGUUGUUAAUCAAUGUUAGAGACAAUUCAAAGUCUGAGAAUCUAAUCUUGUCAAAUGUGAAGAGAAAAUCCAAUUCUUAAUAAUGAGGAUCAAAGAUAGGCAGGGAGACUGCGAACUUUACCAAGUAGCCAGAAGCAAUAAUGAGGAAGCUGAUCAGUUGGCAAAAAUGGCAGCGGCAGGAGAAAAGUGCUUGACUUAGUCAUUUCAGUUUGAAGAAAUACAUACUUCGACAACCGAUGAAGAAGAGUCUUUGCCCAUUGACGAAGGAGAAUCGUGGAUGAUGCCGGUGUAUAGGUUAUUGAUAGAGUAUGAGUUGCCAACCGAUGAACUGACAGCCAAAUAGGUAAUAAGAAGGUCCUCUAGAUAUGUACUAAUAAAUAGUUGGUUGUACAGGAGGUCGUCAAUACAAUCGUAGCUAUGAUGCAUAACAGAGGAUGAUGGCUGAAGUAUCCUUAAAUAUAUCCAUGAAGAAGACUGCAAAAGUCAUGAAGGAGCUCAAAUGAUUGCCUGAAAGACAUUCAGGCAAGGAUAUUACUGGCCAACAGUAAUGCAGGAUGCAAAGGACCUCGUCUAGAAGUGUCGGCGGUGUCAAAUGCAUGCAAGCAUUCUACAAACCCCUGGUGAGAUGCAAGCAGCAAUGGAAAGCCCUUGGCCCUUUUCUCAAUGGGCUAAACAUCCUUGGCCCAUUCCCAAAAGCAAUCAGGUCAAGAAAAUUUGUGAUCAUAGUAGUGGACCAUUUCAGCAAGUGGGCCGAGGCAGAAGUAGUCCAGUCCAUCACCACGCAGCAGGCAAUCUCCUUCAUUAGCAAAAACAUAUUUACCCAAUUUGGAAUCCCUAAGCUAGUUAUCACUGAUAAUGGGACUCAAUUUGUGAGUUCCAAGUUUAAAGAUUUCUGCAGAAAAUGAAAAAUUCACUUAAGAUUCAGCAGAAAAUGAAAAAUUCACUUAAGAUUCAGCUCGGCGUACCAUCCUCAAAUCAAUGGCAUGAAUGAGGUAACAAAUAGGACAAUCCUACAAGGUUUGAAGAAAAGGCUCGACAAAGGCAAAGGUAAUUGGAUCGAGGAGUUGCCCCACAUCUUCUAGACAUACAAAACAAUCCCGACAAUAGCUAUAAGGAAAACCCCGUUUUUGCUUGUAUAUGGGGCUGAGAGAGUAAUUCCCAUAGAGGUCCAAGUAAGCAGUUUUAGGACUCAACACCCUGAGUCCUCAUGGGACCCGAAGGAGAUGCAAUAUAAACUUGACCAAGCUAAAUUUUUGUGAGAACAAGCUGCAAUUAGAAUGGUAGUCUACAUGAACAAGAUGUCUCAAAUAUUCAAUAGUAGAAUCAAACUAAGAGUCUUUAAUAUAGGAGAUUUAGUCCUUAAAAGAACUUAUGUAAUAGGUGAUAAUACCAGGUUUAGUAAGUUGGGUGAAAAUUAGAAAGGACCAUUUAGGGUCUCGAAGAUUAUUCACCCUAGGUCUUAUAAGUUGGCCAAGUUAAAUGGCCGGGUCAUUUUCCAUUCUUUAAAUAUUUGUAAUUUAUGCAAAUUUUAUCAAUAACAUUUAACGAGAUAUUUUUCAUAUAUUGUGUGUUAUUCAUUUAUGAGGAAUGGUGAUUUGCCAAAAUUAAGAAUCGAUGAUCAAAGCAUUUUUUUUCUCAAGGAUAAGCCACAAGACGGGUAUCUACCAACCUCAGGAUCGGGUGUUAGUUCCAUUCAUUAAAAUUAUUUAAGGCAUUUUAUACCAAAACCACAAGGCGGAUAUCCGCCAGGCUCACGACUAGGUGUUAGUCCCACUUAUUAAAAUUAUUUGAGGUAUUUUAUGCCAAGGCCACAAGGUAGGUAUCCGCCAGGCUUGGGACUGGGUGUUAGUCUCACUUAUUAAAGUUAUUUAAGGCAUUUUAUGCUAAGACCACAAUGUGAGUAUCUGCCAGACUGAUGACCAGAUAUUAGUUCACUUAUUAAAAUUAUUUAAGGCAUUUUAUGCCAAAACCACAAGGUGGAUAUUCGUCAGACUGAUGACCGAGUAUUAGUCCCACUUAUUAAAAUUAUUUAAGGUAUUAUUCCAAGACAACGAGGCGAGUAUCCGUCAGGCCGAUAACCAAUUAGUCCCACUUAUUAAAAUUAUUUAAGGCAUUUUAUGCCAAGACAAUAAGGCGAGUAACCGCCAGGCCGAUUAGUGGGUGUAAGUCCCGUCAGUAAUUUCAUUUAAGGCAUUUUUUAUAUCCAAAUACGAGUAUUGCCAGGUAUUUGACCGGAUGUUAGCCUCAUUUAGCAAUUUUUUCUAAGUUAUUUAAGUCUCAUUUGGUGAUGAUCUAUGAAAAUAAUUGGAAGAAAGUUCUGGUUAUAUUCUUGGUCGAGUAUCAAUCCUACAAUACUGGGUAAAAAUAAAGACAAAGAUGAAAAUAAAAGUUUUUUUAUUAAAAUAUUACAGGGCAGGAGGGAUGUCAUCAGUCGCAUCCUUUCGAUCUUCUAUUACAUGUUCAUCUAUAGCUAUUUGAUAGAGCAUAAAUUAGUCCAUUUUAUCUUGAUAUUAUUGAUGAUUAUUUACAUGAUUUCUGCUUAAUUUAGUAUUUUUGAUAUUAUUUUGCAGAAAAUGGUGUAAAAGGACAUUUUGGAGAAAAUCCCUCUAAAACUGCCUUAAUUGGAGCAAAAGAGAGCAAGCCUGCCAAGUUGGAAUCAAGUGAAGCUAAAUAAGGAAAGUUCUAAAUAAGGAAAGUGGCAAAGAAUGAAAGAACAUUCAGCCAAAGCAAUUUGAAAUUCAAAUUUCAAAUCUCCAAGUAGCCUUUUCCUUAUUCAAGAAGCCAAGUCUCAAGUUGCCAUAAAUGAAGAGUCAAAUAAGGAAAAUAUUUUGAAAUUCAAAUCUUCAAGAUUCAUAUUCAAAUUUUAAAUUUUAAAAUCCAGGAUAUUAAGGAAGCUAAAUCCAAAGAUCACAUGCUUGCCACCUCAUGCCUUGCACAUUCAAAAUUCAAAUUGCAAAGGAGGCUCCACCUUCCUUAUUAGUGCAUGGGCGGCAAGGAGAGUGUGAAGACAAGUCUUGGGUACCUUGGGCAGCAUCUUGAAGACACUUGGACAGCAAGCAAAGACUAAAGGCCCCACUCCUUGCACUUGAACACAUGCCCCACGUUUUUCCCUUCUCACAUGUGCAUGGAUGGCACAUCUUGGACCAAGGGCAUUUUGGGCAGUCACUUGAAGUCUUUUGGGUAGCCUCUUGACACCUUGGGAAGCCUCUUCACUAAUUAGGAAGCCAGUAUCAUCUAGGGCAACACUUUUCAAGUAUAAAAAGAUACAUAAGGAGCCUCCCCAUGCUCUUUCAAGCCCCCCUUGGAGGCACCUACGGGAUUCACAUCUCUUCUUCUACCUUUCUUCUUUUUUUUUAUUUUUUGGUUUUUGUUUCAGCCAUGAGAGGCUGAAACCCUUUAUUCUAGUUGAAGAUUAGGUGAUGCUUUAGUUGUUUUAUGGAUUGGGAGACUUGAUCAAACAUUGUUUAUCUUUUGUUAUUCAAUAUUCAUACAAUCUCAUGCUUAAUUCCAUUGUUGCUUUGUUGUUUUUAUCAAUAUGGCCAAUUGAUUCUUGAUUGCAAGGUAAUAAUAUGUUAGUUUGGGUGAUUUAAGUCCGUAAUUGCUUGGAUUAUUCAAACAUAAGAACACUUGAAGUAAAAACCAAGGAAAUUGUAUGAUCUAGCAACAUCUCAUGCGUUUGAGUAGUUAGGAUUGGAUUUUUCUCUUUCUUCAUGCAAUUAAUAAUUGUUUGAUGCCUAAGGGCCAAGGACGUUCCUUGGCAAUUUGUUAAUUAGUAAUUAAUUAGAGGACGUUUCCUAAUUAGUUUAAUCAUAAGGAGGGACAUGGUGGUGAGAAGCGUCUUCCAUCUCCACAACUAAUCUAUUGAAUCAAUCAAAAGAAACUAAGUGUCAAUGAUCAAUCCCAACAACUCAAGUGGAUAUAAUUCUUCAACUAGAGCUUUCUUAUUAUUUAUUUCUCUUUUAUUUUAUUAUUCGCUUAUUUUAAUUACUUUCAGUAGUUUGUUAAUCAAAUCAAUCUCAAACCCCCCAUUUUACUUUUACUGCAAUUUAUUUUUAUUCCGCUUUCAGUUUAUCUCGCUUUCAAUUUAUCUCGUUUCUGUUUACUUUGCUUUCAGUUUAUUUUGCUUUCAGUUUAUCUCGCUUUCAGUUUAUCUCGCUUUCAGUUUAUUCCGCUUUCAGUUUAUCUCGCUUUCAGUUUAUCUCAUUUCAGUUUACUUUGCUUUCAGUUUAUUUUUAUUUCAGUUUAUGCUCUUGGUCUUGAUAAGGAAAAUAGGUAAGUUUUCAAUUCCCUGUGGAUUCGAUCCUUUCACCACUAUCUGCAGUUGUAAAUUGUUGAUAACCAGAAAGGUUAUUUUUUACCGGCUUCGACAACCGUGAGUCACUAUUACAUUAGAAAAUGGGUCAAACAGAUUGUCUUCGAUUGGCCUCUCUUCGUCUUGCCCAUCCUCGUCCUCGUCCUCAUCUUCAGGAAAGAUGUCUUCAAUCCAGGCGAAAUCCUCAAAAGGAAAGCGCUUGAGCAACUCCUUUUUGACCAAGUCCUGACCUUCAAUGAACAUCUCCCCUUCUUGAGCUACCAUCUCCUAAAGUUUGGCUUCUAGCUCAGCAAUCCUGUUAGAAGUGGUCCGGUUCUCCUGAGCUCGAGAUUGUAGCUCCUAAACUUGCCAUCGAAGGAUAGACACUUGAUCCUCGGUGAUUAUGGCCUGAUUCUCAAGGGUGAGUUUUGCAGCGUUGGCUUCAUGCAGGUUUGCCUAGAGUUUGGCCACGGACUCAGGGUCUCUUUCAUGGUAUUCUCCACCUCUUCAACCCAAGCCUUCAGCCUCGAGCACUCCUCCUAUAGGAGAUUUCUAUCCCUCUCAUGUGCCUCAAGCUCUCGCCUCAAAGCCCUAUCCCGCUCCUUGGCCAUGUAUGCGCACAGUGCACUUUCCAUAUGGAGUUGAUGAUGUUGUCGUAGAGAUCAUCUGUCUCGAUCGCAUUCAGAUGAUGACGAUCUCCAGGCCUCAGGGUGUUCUUAGUUAUGAGGACUGAGAACUAGGGUUCCUCCAAAAGUGAGGUCGUCCGGGCCAGUUCCAUCGCCAGGUGUUGGACACCCCGAGGCCAUGUGACUCCAGCUCUAGCCUCUUCCUCUGAUGCUUCAGCUUGGACAAGGACUGCUGCUGAAAUGCCCUUUAAAGAAGACUCGAGUUGAGUGAGGGCUGGUUUCUCAAUUGCAGGUGGAGAAGAGGGAGGAGGAAGCAUAAUGAUCUCCUCUGCUUGGCGAGCCCAUUUGGGAGGUGGGCCGAAUGUUCCAGCAAUAGAUUUGCCUUUGCAGGCAGCACAUGCCACUUCAGCAAAUUUAUUUUUCUUUCCAACCAUGUCUAUACAGGGCAAAAAGUGAGUAAAUAAGGCAUUUUUAAAAACAAAAAUGUUGGAAGAAAAAAAUACCCUACUCUAGAGUGUGGGAAGCGCUUUCCCAAGGAUUUUGAAGACUAGAUAGGCGGUUGAGGAGCCUGAGCCUGUUCUACCUAAAAUUGACUUUACCAGGAAAAAACGACGUUCCUCACUGCCACAUUGAUGUCUACCCUCUAGGUGGAGACCAUCCUCUAAAGAAAGUCCAAAGCUCCUACCUCAUCCCACUGUGGUUGGACCCCAUCCUUCCUAAGCUCCACAUGAAGAUUCUAGUAAGUCUAAAGUCGCCCAAAACCCCCGGAUACUCUAUGGCAUAGGGUAAAGAACUUAUUUUUCUAGCGCUUGAGGGAAGAGGGUAUCCGGUCAAAAAGAGUCUAGCGCUUUUCCUCAUUGAAGAACUAGAAUUUUUCAUUCUUCUGGGUACACAGUUAAUAAAGUUGGGAGAAGAGCGCAAAACUCAGCUCAAUAUUGUUAUUAAAGCAUAAAAAGCAGAAAGCCACCAGAAUCCUCUAGCUAUUGGUAGCAGUUAGCAAAUUGCGACCUUAUGGAAACGAAGGACUUCAACGAAAAACAGAUCCAUAGGAAAAUGAAGACACGCCUUCAAUUACUCUUUAUAAACCAUGAUUGUGUCCUCUGUAAGGAUUUAGUCAUCCACAUGAACGCACGAAGACUCGCCUUUAGUUGCUCUUCAUAAACUAUGAUUGUGUCCUCUGUAGGGAUUUGGUCAUCCACAUGAAUGCGCUGGUUUGAAGCAUGAACCUAGAAGAGUUCUCGAGAGAUCUGGUAGUGAUUGUACAGAUGAUCCAUGUCAUUUUCUGUUAAUAUAGACGGGAUGUCAUUCACCGGGAGACUAUUAUUGUCAUGAACUGCCCUCAGCGAAACGAUCGGAGUAGGUGCACAGUCGCCGGAGAAAGAGCUUGAAGUGGAGCUUCCACCAGAAGAAGACAACAAAGAGAUAUUCAUAUCGGGAAAUGUCAAAAAGAAACAAGGAAAUACCUUAAGUAAAUGAGAAAGUAGAAGACUGGGUAGUUGAGUCUUUUUCAAAGAGCAAAGAUCAAUUGUGAGCAAAAGUGGUGAUUGAAGGAGAAAAAGGGAUUUUAUAUCGAGAUUUCGACAGCAAGUUUAAAUGCUGCUCAAGAAGCAAGACAAUCAUCAUUUAUGUCCAGAAAUAGGCAAAGAGACGUGGAUAUGGAGAGUCAAUCCGAACAUGUCGCAUGUCCAAAUUCGUGAAGACAACUGUAAUCUUCAAAUCUGAAGAGUCGAAGACCAGUGGGUGGACUUUUAAUACGACAUAAUAGUCAUCCAAAGCAAGCCGUGAGCUAUCACCAUAGGACAAGGUCACGUGGAAAAAGCCUAAUAAGCUGACACGCGGUCACAAAAGUCUUACCCUUAGGCAAGAAGACUAGGACAUCACAAUACUCAGUACUUAGAAUGUUAAGACUCACCAUCUCCUAUGUUGGCCAGAUCUUUUAUGGAAUAAAGUUACCGUUAGAGGAUAUAAUCUAGUAGAUCCCUAUUACACCUGUAAUCGUGGGAUCCCCUUAUCUACUUUGCCGGUACUAAUUAAAUUUCUAGGAGAUUUAAUAACCAACUCCAUCUUUUUACAAUAUAAAAGUAAACAUGCAUAGAAUUUAGAGUAUAUAUUCUUACACAUUCAUUCUAAACUCAAAACAAUCUAUUACAUUCAUCAUUUUUAGUAAAUUACUGACUUAAGUGUCGGAGUGACUACCCAUAAACACCAACCACCUCAUUCUUUCUCUUUUACAAAUUGACCCAACCCAUCGCAACUCAACUCUAUUUUCAGGCAUAUCAAUUAUUAUUAGAGUAUUUAUACAUUUAGUGAAGGGGUAAUUUUAGAAGAAAAAAUUUCUCUCUACUAAAAAUAAUAAAAAUAGUAUUUUAAUCUAACAAUAAAUACAUUUUAAUAAAUUUUUUUAAAUUAUAAAAAUAUUUUAAUAUAUUUUAUAAAAUUUAAAAAAUAUUUAAUUUCACCAUAUUAUAAAAACUAAAUAAUAAAUUUUUCAACCAACAUAUAUUAUUUAUAUACUUUCUGAAGAAUUUUAUUGACUACAUAUAUUCUUUAUAUACUUUUUGAAGAAUUUUAUUGAUGUUUAUUGUUUUAUCGUAAUCAAUAUGAAAUAACAAUGAACUUUAUUUUAAAAUGGUAUAUAUAUCAACAAAACUUUAAAUUUUAAACUAUAAAUAUUAUAUGAAAUAUUUAUAUUAAAAUUUAUAUAGAAAUAAUUAAGUGGGUAUAUUUUUUUUAAAUUUUCAAUAUAUAGAAGACAUACUUUUUUUUAAUUUUCAAGAGUGGAGCUCAUAAAAUUUUUAAAAAGUAUGUUCAUCAAUUCCUUUAAUUUUAAUGUUUAGAUAAAUAUAAUCACCUAUACAUGACCAUCUUAAAUAAUUAUAUAAUUUUUAUAAUGAAAUAAAUUAAUAAGUGCUGUUUAUUUAUUACUUACCAAUUGGUAUAUGAUACUAAUUAAGUAUUAUUUUUAAGGAUAAAUUAUUAUUAAGAAAAUUUUUAUAAAAUUAAUUAAUUUAUCAAUUUUUUAAAAUCAUUUAAUUAAAAUAUUUUUAUAUUUUAUAAAUUUUGAUCCUUUGAUCUUUUUGUAAAAAAAUUAAUUAACUGCUUUAAAUAUAUGUAUUAUUUACUCUUUAUAAUUUUAAAUAUUUACAUUAUUUAAUAUUUUUAAUUAAAGUUAAAAUAAAUUGAAUAUAAUUUUUUUAUAGAAAAAUUAAAAAAAAUUAAUUUUAUAAAAUUUAAAGACAUUUUAAUUAAAUAAUAUUGAAAUAUGGAUAAACUAAUAAAUUCUUUUAAUAACCCAAGAACCAUUUUUAAUGAUAUUUGUAGAUUAUUUUAGAUGACCAUUAGGAUAAAUUACAAACUAAUUAUAUAUUUAUAUUUUUAAGAAUUAAUUUAAUAUAAUAACUAUAUUGUUUUACAAUUAAAUUAUAGUUAAUAUUAUACAUGUUAAGAUUAGAUCGGACCGGCCGAUCAGACCUACUUAAUCAAAGAUUGGACUAUAUUUUAUUUAAUUUAAGCUAUAAACUCUCUAUUUUUUAAAUCAAACCGCUCUCAUAAUUAGAAAAAAAAAAUACAUUUACUCUCAGUAGGAAUUGAUUUCAUGACUAUAAACUAAAUAGACUUCUUUAACCAAUUGAACUAAUUCAUUUCCCUCUAAUUUCUUUUUACUUAUAAAAUAAUAUAUGAUGACGCAGUGUGCUUUAUUAAAUUAUAUUAAUAUAAAACGAUUGUUAUAUAUGAAAAAUAAAAAUUAUAAUUUAUUUAAUAUUAAUAAUAAUUUAGUUUAUUAGUUAAGUUAAAUUUUUAUUUUAUUAUAAUUUUUUAGUUUUUUAAUAAGAAAGUGCAUAAAAAUUAAUUAUUUCAUAUAAAUAUAAUAAUUUUUAUUUUUAUUUGUUAAUAUAAAUUUAACUUAAAUUAAAUAUUUUAUUUAAAAUUUUAAAUUAUUUUCUAAAAAUAUCUAAAUCUUAAAAUUUUAAGUAUAAUUUGUUAUUAAUUAUUUAUAAAAAAAUAUUAAUUAUAAUAAAAAUUUUAUUAUUAAUUAUUUAUUUUCAACCGAUGGUGAUAUGAAAACCUUGAUUAAAUUUAUAGAUACAUUUAUGAAAAUACUGCAAUUUAUUUUUUGUUUUAAAUUCAAACAAAUAUAUGUAUAUAAAAGUUUGAUGGUAAUUAUUCAAAAAUAUUGGGGUUAUAAUGCAAAUACAUAAAAAAAAGCUUUCGUUUAGUGCAUUUUCAAUCUCAAAACGUAGACACUUCCAUGGCCACGUUCAAAACCACUCAAAAUGAAAAAUCUCUCUCUAUGAAAAAAACCCGAAUUGAUAAAACCAAUUGAAGAAGAGAAGAAGAAGAAGAAGAAGAAUGGCUUUUCUUCUACCAAACCUCUCUUCUUCUCUUCUCCUCAACUCCAAAUCCUCAGCUUCAAGAGAAAGAGAGAAAUCCAUCACUUCCCAAAACCAAAUCCAAAUCCAAAACCAAACACUUCCUUCUCAUUUUCAAUCAACAACAGCCACUUCUUCAACCAUAUCAACAACUAAAACAAAACCCUCUAGUACCAACACCUCCCUCUUUCCUCCCCCACCAC
rnacentral:lncRNA from 1 species